GAUGAACGCUGGCGGCGUGCCUAAUACAUGCAAGUAGAACGCUGAAGGAGGAGCUUGCUCUUCUGGAUGAGUUGCGAACGGGUGAGUAACGCGUAGGUAACCUGCCUGGUAGCGGGGGAUAACUAUUGGAAACGAUAGCUAAUACCGCAUGACAACAGUUAUUGCAUGAUAACUGUUGAAAAGGGGCAACUGCUCCACUACCAGAUGGACCUGCGUUGUAUUAGCUAGUUGGUGAGGUAACGGCUCACCAAGGCGACGAUACAUAGCCGACCGGAGAGGGGGAUCGGCCACCCUGGGACUGAGACACGGCCCAGACGCCUACGGGAGGCAGCAGUAGGGAAUCUUCGGCAAUGGACGGAAGUCUGACCGAGCAACGCCGCGUGAGUGAAGAAGGUUUUCGGAUCGUAAAGCUCUGUUGUAAGAGAAGAACGAGUGUGAGAGUGGAAAGUUCACACUGUGACGGUAUCUUACCAGAAAGGGACGGCUAACUACGUG
rnacentral:rRNA from 1 species